rnacentral:rRNA from 1 species
CCUACGGGAGGCUGCAGUGGGGAAUAUUGGGCAAUGGGCGCAAGCCUGACCCAGCAACGCCGCGUGAAUGAAGAAGGCUUUCGGGUUGUAAACUUCUUUCCUCAGGGACGAAAAAAGUGACGGUACCUGACGAGGAAGCCACGGCUAACUACGUGCCAGCAGCCGCGGUAAUACGUAGGGGGCAAGCGUUAUCCGGAUUUACUGGGCGUAAAGGGAGCGUAGGCGGGACUGCAAGUCUGAUGUGAAAUACACGGGCUCAACUUGGGGGUUGCAUUUGAAACUGUAGAGCUUGAGUACAGGAGAGGCAGGCGGAAUUCCUAGUGUAGCGGUGAAAUGCGUAGAUAUUAGGAGGAACACCAGUGGCGAAGGCGGCUUGCUGGACAGAAACUGACGCUGAGGCGCGAAAGCGUGGGGAGCAAACAGGAUUAGAUACCCGGGUAGUC